CGCUGGCGGCGUGGAUUAGGCAUGCAAGUCGAACGCGAAAGUUCCCUUCGGGGAGCGAGUAGAGUGGCGAAAGGGUGAGUAAUGCUUGGAUGACCUGCCCUCGAGACGGGGACAACAGUUCGAAAGGACUGCUAAUACCCGAUAGUCCGGUUUAGAUGCGUCUAGAUCGGUAAAUGGUGCUUCCGCUCGAGGAGGGGUUCAAGUCCUAUCAGCUUGUUGGUGAGGUAACGGCUCACCAAGGCGAUGACGGGUAGCCGGACUGAGAGGUUGGCCGGCCACAUGGGAACUGAGACACUGUCCUGACUCCUACGGGAGGCUGCAGUCGAGAAUCUUCUGCAAUGGGCGAAAGCCUGACAGAGCGACGCCGCGUGGAGGAUGAAGGCCCUCGGGUCGUAAACUCCUGUCACAUGUUAUGAAACGCACAGGUCUACCUGUGCGCUGACAAAAGCAUGAGAGGAAGUCACGGCUAACUUCGUG
rnacentral:rRNA from 1 species